rnacentral:rRNA from 1 species
CUGACGGUACCAGAGGAAUCAGCAUCGGCUAACUCCGUGCCAGCAGCCGCGGUAAGACGGAGGAUGCAAGCGUUAUCCGGAAUGAUUGGGCGUAAAGCGUCCGCAGGUGGCAGUUCAAGUCUGCUGUCAAAGACCGGGGCUUAACUUCGGAAAGGCAGUGUAAACUGAACAGCUAGAGUAUGGUAGGGGCAGAGGGAAUUCCUGGUGUAGCGGUGAAAUGCGUAGAGAUCAGGAAGAACAUCGGUGGCGAAGGCGCUCUGCUGGACCAUAACUGACGCUGAGGAGCGAAAGCAUGGGGAGCGAACAGGAUUAGAUACCCUGGUAGUCCAUGCCGUAAACGUUGGGCACUAGGUGUGGGGACAUUCCUACGUUUUCCGCGCCGUAGCUAACGCAUUAAGUCGCCCCGCCGUGGGGAGUACGGCCGCAAGGACUAAAACUACAAAGGAAUUGACGGGGGCCCGCACAAGCGGCGGAGCAUGCGGAUUAAUUCGUCGACGCGGCCG